UGGGGAAUAUUGCGCAAUGGGGGAAACCCUGACGCAGCUACGCCGCGUGGGUGAUGAAGGCCUUCGGGUUGUAAAGCCCUGUCUGUGGGGAAGAAGAAUGACGGUACCCACAAAGAAAGCACCGGCUAACCCUGUGCCAGCAGCCGCGGUAAUACAGGGGGUGCAAGCGUUGCUCGGAAUCACUGGGCGUAAAGCGAGCGCAGGCGGACCGUUAAGUCGGGUGUGAAAUCCCGGGGCUCAACCCCGGAACUGCAUUCGAAACUGGCGGCCUUGAGUACGGGAGAGGUGAGUGGAAUUCCUGGUGUAGAGGUGAAAUUCGUAGAUAUCAGGAGGAACACCGGUGGCGAAAGCGGCUCACUGGCCCGAUACUGACGCUCAUGCUCGAAAGCGUGGGGAGCAAACAGG
rnacentral:rRNA from 1 species